UCUAAAAUUUGAAUUGUGUGAAACAACUAGAUUCCACCUUCUCCUCUCUACUGAUUUUCAACUUCCACACCCAUUUCCAUUUGUGUCAUUUUUCCUUCUUCAGACCAUUCAUUUCUCUCUCUUUCUUGGUUUGGAGUUGCAAUAUUUGCUACUUCUUAUUCUCUGUGCAUGAAGAUUAUACUUCUGAGAAUCAAUUCAUGUGUAAGGAGCCUUAUGUAUAAAGAGAAAUUGUUUAAUUUUCAGAGCCAGAACAAUGAGCAGCCCAAUCAGGAGAAAGAGUUAGUUUCAAGUUUUUCCAAUUCUCAAGCCCUUGGGGUUAUUUUGGGAGAAUAUUUGGGAGCAGCGGAUGAUUGUGAAUUGGAGAUCAUGAACAGGUUUUUCCACGCAUGACCAUGAGAACCCUUGAGAUAUGCACUUGUUCAGUAUCAUUUUGAAUCAAGAAAUUAAUGAGAAGACAAUCGAUCCAGGUACCUUCCAUUUCAUUGUUUCAGGAAAUUACAUUACAUUUGUUUUAGUUACAUAGAAAUUAAAUCAUAACCGUGAAAGACAAAACAAAUUCCAAGUAUUGUUUUGAGGUGAUAACUAACAAUAUCACUUUAAAAACUAUCAAGUACAAAUUAUUUCUUAGGAGAUGUUUUUCAACAAGCAUUGCUGAGAAAUUUCUUCAGAAAAGUUUCCAAGAAACUAUUCAAAUACUAUUAAGGUUUACUGGUUAAAAGUGAUAAUCGUUAUAACUGAUAGUGCAUGACAAGAUGUUUUAAAUUCUUGAAAAGGAAGAGAGAUGAAAAUAAUAGUUUUUGGUUCCAUAUAGCUGUUCUCACGCCACGAAAUGAGCUCGAUGUUUCAACCCUGCAGGAGCAUUAUUGUAAACUUUAUCAUCUAUAAUUUUUCAAUAUUCCAUUUGGAUAACAACAGAUAAAUUUAAGGUCAAAAGAGUUCUUUAUUAUUAAUUGAUAUCAAAUUAAUACUUGCACAUCUAUUAGUAAUGUUGCAGAUCAACAAAAUAUAACAAGUUUGGUUUUUGGACAUAUUUCAGUACAUGAGCAAAAUAUAUAACCAUUGCGAAGACUUUUAUAUACAUCAUUGUGCAUGUAUAAUAGGAUAUUUUUAUCUAUAAUAUAUGCAAAAGACAGAAGUCCAAAUAUUUGAAGUUAGAUUCUUCUUUACUCAAAUAGAUUUAAUGACUUGGUAACAUGUGUAGUAAUUACUCUCCCUGUUUGGCUUAUACGGACGAAGUUGAAAAGCUAGAAGCUUUUUAUCAUAUCAAGAUUUGCCAAAACAAUAGAUAAUUUUGAUUCCGUUAUCAUUUUUCUGCAUCUUAAAUAUUGACAAGAAAAAAUCACACCAAAUUCAUCAAAUUGCUCCUUGUGAUAGCAAACCACAGCAGCUAGGAUUACAAUAUGCAACAAGCACCUAUAGUGCUCAAGAGUCCUUCAGUAAAUUUGUUCUCUUGCGAUCAACGGUUGGCAUUCAGUAAAAUCAUGAGUACAAAUGCAGAAAAGGAGAAGUCUACUCCACGGUGGAGCUUAAUUUGUUUGCUCUCUAAAGUUGUGUAAUUUUUAUACUGCAUAUACAAAUUGUACUAGCCAGGGGGAUCCACCAACUUUUUGAAAAAAUAAGUGGGAGUUGCUGAGCCAAGAAACCUUAUAAGGAAUUUUGAGAUCUUUGUAAAAAUCUGUAGGAAAGCAAGAGAGAGACACCGACUACUUUGGUCUGUGCAUUUUAAUAUGUGCAACAUGCAUAACUUCUAAAGAUUUGCUUAAGUUUUGUAAAA